rnacentral:lncRNA from 1 species
GUUUAUGAUAACAAAUAUGGAAAAAUGGACUUUUAAAAAUCAUGUAAAUUACAACACAAAAAUCAGAAAGCACAACGUUUAUACAAAAUCAUUCGGCCAACUUGCUGGCAAUUAAGUUGGGAUACAAUGUGCUCAGGGUGAAAACAAGAUCAGAAAUGAAAAUAAAAUAGCCACAAAAAAUUGGAAAAGUUUUGGUUUUGGUUUUCUUGAGUACCUGUACCAGCAAUUCAGCUGAUCAUUAAACACAACCAGAAAGAAAGGCUCUAUUUUGCCUGUAGAGAGUUCAUCCAGAGACUGCCCAAGGGAUUUGUACAGAAUAAAGCUUCACAAAACCCAAGGGCUGUCAGAGGGAAAUGGUAUCCAGGAGGACAGGGCAGGCCAAGUAUCCCCUCAACAGCAAAGCCACACUAGAAAGCCAGAGGCAGCACUGUGGCUGCCAACACAACCGCCUACCACGUCUGCCAAGGAGCCAGAAGCCGCUUGUGGGAAAAUAUCACUUACCCUUAGCAUCUGGGUCCUGUGAUUGUUAUCCAAAGAGACAGAAUGUGCUUUGCUGGCAGUACAGGCUCGGUGAUGGGAAAUUCAAGUAGGGAAAACAGAAGACUAUGUAAGUCAGUGAGCUCACGUUUGACUUCUCUGGAUAUUUAGUCCCUUAGCACUGAGUGGCAGGGGUAAUGAAAUGUUACAGUGUCCAAGAUAUUUAAGUAGUAGUUAGUUAGGUGUUAACUAGUGGCAAGAUUGACAGAACGGUUUGCAUUUGCUGGCUCUUAACUACAAAAGCUGUUUAGUUUAAUGACAAUCACUUGAAUACCACAUGACAAAUAUUGAUGAGCAAUAAUGGAUCCAUGAGAAAUUCACCAUUUUUUAGACAGAUUUUUUUUUAAACCA